rnacentral:rRNA from 1 species
AGUGAACGCUGGCGGUAGGCCUAACACAUGCAAGUCGAACGGCAGCACAGUAAGAGCUUGCUCUUACGGGUGGCGAGUGGCGGACGGGUGAGGAAUACAUCGGAAUCUACUUUUUCGUGGGGGAUAACGUAGGGAAACUUACGCUAAUACCGCAUACGACCUACGGGUGAAAGCAGGGGAUCUUCGGACCUUGCGCGAUUGAAUGAGCCGAUGUCGGAUUAGCUAGUUGGCGGGGUAAAGGCCCACUAAGGCGACGAUCCGUAGCUGGUCUGAGAGGAUGAUCAGCCACACUGGAACUGAGACACGGUCCAGACUCCUACGGGAGGCAGCAGUGGGGAAUAUUGGACAAUGGGCGCAAGCCUGAUCCAGCCAUACCGCGUGGGUGAAGAAGACCUUCGGGUUGUAAAGCCCUUUUGUUGGGAAAGAAAAGCAGCAGGUUAAUACCCCGCUGUUCUGACGGUACCCAAAGAAUAAGCACCGGCUAACUUCGUG